AGUGAACGCUGGCGGUAGGCCUAACACAUGCAAGUCGAACGGCAGCACAGUAAGAGCUUGCUCUUACGGGUGGCGAGUGGCGGACGGGUGAGGAAUACAUCGGAAUCUACUUUUUCGUGGGGAUAACGUAGGGAAACUUACGCUAAUACCGCAUACGACCUACGGGUGAAAGCAAGGGAUCUUCGGACCUUGCGCGAUUGAAUGAGCCGAUGUCGGAUUAGCUAGUUGGCGGGGUAAAGGCCCACCAAGGCGACGAUCCGUAGCUGGUCUGAGAGGAUGAUCAGCCACACUGGAACUGAGACACGGUCCAGACUCCUACGGGAGGCAGCAGUGGGGAAUAUUGGACAAUGGGCGCAAGCCUGAUCCAGCCAUACCGCGUGGGUGAAGAAGGCCUUCGGGUUGUAAAGCCCUUUUGUUGGGAAAGAAAAGCAGCAGGUUAAUACCCCGCUGUUCUGACGGUACCCAAAGAAUAAGCACCGGCUAACUUCGUG
rnacentral:rRNA from 1 species